rnacentral:rRNA from 1 species
GAUGAACGCUGGCGGAGGGAAGAAUACAGGCAAGUCGAGCGAACGGACGAGAAGCUUGCUUCUCUGAUGUUAGCGGCGGACGGGUGAGUAACACGUGGAUAACCUACCUAUAAGACUGGGAUAACUUCGGGAAACCGGAGCUAAUACCGGAUAAUAUUUUGAACCGCAUGGUUCAAAAGUGAAAGACGGUCUUGCUGUCACUUAUAGAUGGAUCCGCGCUGCAUUAGCUAGUUGGUAAGGUAACGGCUGACCAAGGCAACGAUGCAUAGCCGACCUGAGAGGGUGCUCGGCCACACUGGAACUGAGACACGGUCCAGACUCCUACGGGAGGCAGCAGUAGGGAAUCUUCCGCAAUGGGCGAAAGCCUGACGGAGCAACGCCGCGUGAGUGAUGAAGGUCUUCGGAUCGUAACACUCUGUUAUUAGGGAAGAACAUAUGUGUAAGUAACUGUGCACAUCUUGACGGUACCUAAUCAGAAAGCCCCGGCUACCUACGUG